GAUGAACGCUGGCGGCGUGCCUAAUACAUGCAAGUCGAGCGAACAGACGAGGAGCUUGCUCCUCUGACGUUAGCGGCGGACGGGUGAGUAACACGUGGAUAACCUACCUAUAAGACUGGGAUAACUUCGGGAAACCGGAGCUAAUACCGGAUAAUAUAUUGAACCGCAUGGUUCAAUAGUGAAAGACGGCUUUGCUGUAACAUAUAGAUGGCUCCGCGCCGCAUUAGCUGGUUGGUAAGGUCACGGCUUACCAAGGGGACGAUGCGUAGCCGACCUGGGAGGGUGAUCGGCCACACUGGAGCGGAGACGCGGUCCAGACUCCUACGGGAGGCAGCAGAAGGGAAUCUUCCGCAAUGGGCGAAAGCCUGACGGAGCAACGCCGCGUGAGUGAUGAAGGUCUUCGGAUCGUAAAACUCUGUUAUUAGGGAAGAACAAAUGUGUAAGUAACUAUGCACGUCUUGACGGUACCUAAUCAGAAAGCCACGGCUAACUACGUG
rnacentral:rRNA from 1 species